rnacentral:rRNA from 1 species
GUGAGGAAUAUUGGUCAAUGGACGAGAGUCUGAACCAGCCAAGUAGCGUGAAGGAUGAAGGUUCUAUGGAUUGUAAACUUCUUUUAUAAGGGAAUAAAACCUCCCACGUGUGGGAGCUUGUAUGUACCUUAUGAAUAAGCAUCGGCUAACUCCGUGCCAGCAGCCGCGGUAAUACGGAGGAUGCGAGCGUUAUCCGGAUUUAUUGGGUUUAAAGGGAGCGCAGACGGGGGAUUAAGUCAGUUGUGAAAGUUUGGGGCUCAACCUUAAAAUUGCAGUUGAUACUGGUUCUCUUGAGUGCAGUUGAGGCAGGCGGAAUUCGUGGUGUAGCGGUGAAAUGCUUAGAUAUCACGAAGAACCCCGAUUGCGAAGGCAGCUUGCUAAACUGUAACUGACGUUCAUGCUCGAAAGUGUGGGUAUCAAACAGGAUUAGAAACCCGAGUAGUCC